GACGAACGCUGGCGGCGUGCCUAAUACAUGCAAGUCGAACGCAGUGGGGACGGGUGAGUAACACGUGGGUAACCUCCCAUCAGAGGGGAUAAACCUUGGAAACAGGUGCUAAACCGGUACUGAUGGAUGGACGCGCGGUGCAUUAGCUAGUUGGUGAGGUAACGGCUCACCAAGGCCACGAUGCAUAGCUGACCUGAGAGGAUGAUCAGCCACACUGGGACUGAGACACGGUCCAGACUCCUACGGGAGGCAGCAGUAGGGAAUAUUCGGCAAUGGGCGAAAGUCUGACCGAGCAACGCCGCGGGAGUGAAGAAGGUUUUCGGAUCGUAAAACUCUUUUGUUAGAGAAGCGGUAUCUAACAAGAAAGCCACGGCUAACUACGUGCCAGCAGCCGCGGUAAUAC
rnacentral:rRNA from 1 species